GAGUUUUGAUCCUGGCUCAGGAUGAACGCUAGCUACGGGCUUAACACAUGCAAGUCGAGGGGAAACGACAUCGAAAGCUUGCUUUUGAUGGGUGUCGACCGGCGCACGGGUGAGUAACGCGUAUCCAACCUGCCCACCACUUGGGGAUAACCUUGCGAAAGUAAGACUAAUACCCAAUGAUAUCUCUAGAAGACAUCUGAAAGAGACUAAAGAUUUAUCGGUGAUGGAUGGGGAUGCGUCUGAUUAGCUUGUUGGCGGGGUAACGGCCCACCAAGGCAACGAUCAGUAGGGGUUCUGAGAGGAAGGUCCCCCACAUUGGAACUGAGACACGGUCCAAACUCCUACGGGAGGCAGCA
rnacentral:rRNA from 1 species